UACGUAGGGGGCAAGCGUUGUCCGGAUUUAUUGGGCGUAAAGAGCGUGUAGGCGGUCCGGUAAGUCAGCUGUGAAAGUCAAGGGCUCAACCCUUGAAUGCCGGUUGAUACUGUCGGGCUAGAGUCCGGAAGAGGCGAGUGGAAUUCCUGGUGUAGCGGUGAAAUGCGCAGAUAUCAGGAAGAACACCCGUGGCUAAGGCGGCUCUCUAGUACGGUACUGACGCUGAGACGCGAAAGCGUGGGGAGCGAACAGG
rnacentral:rRNA from 1 species